AACGAACGCUGGCGGCAUGCCUAACACAUGCAAGUCGAACGAGACCUUCGGGUCUAGUGGCGCACGGGUGCGUAACGCGUGGGAAUCUGCCCUCUGGUAAGGAAUAACUCAGGGAAACUUGAGCUAAUACCGUAUAAUGACUUCGGUCCAAAGAUUUAUCGCCUGAGGAGGAGCCCGCGUAGGAUUAGCCUGUUGGUGAGGUAAAAGCUCACCAAGGCGACGAUCCUUAGCUGGUCUGAGAGGAUGAUCAGCCACACUGGGACUGAGACACGGCCCAGACUCCUACGGGAGGCAGCAGUGGGGAAUAUUGGACAAUGUGCGAAAGCCUGAUCCAGCAAUGCCGCGUGAGUGAUGAAGGCCUUAGGGUUGUAAAGCUCUUUUACCCGGGAUGAUAAUGACAGUACCGGGAGAAUAAGCCCCGGCUAACUCCGUGCCAGCCGCCGCGGUAAAAC
rnacentral:rRNA from 1 species